GGUUAAGCGACUAAGCGUACACGGUGGAUGCCCUGGCAGUCAGAGGCGAUGAAGGACGUGCUAAUCUGCGAAAAGCGUCGGUAAGGUGAUAUGAACCGUUAUAACCGGCGAUGUCCGAAUGGGGAAACCCAGUGCAAUUCGUUGCACUAUCGUUAACUGAAUACAUAGGUUAACGAGGCGAACCGGGGGAACUGAAACAUCUAAGUACCCCGAGGAAAAGAAAUCAACCGAGAUUCCCCCAGUAGCGGCGAGCGAACGGGGAGCAGCCCAGAGUCUGAAUCAGCUUGUGUGUUAGUGGAACGGUCUGGAAAGUCCGACGGUACAGGGUGAUAGUCCCGUACACCAAAAUGCACAGGCUGUGAACUCGAAGAGUAGGGCGGGACACGUGGUAUCCUGUCUGAAUAUGGGGGGACCAUCCUCCAAGGCUAAAUACUCCUGACUGACCGAUAGUGAACCAGUACCGUGAGGGAAAGGCGAAAAGAACCCCGGCGAGGGGAGUGAAAAAGAACCUGAAACCGUGUACGUACAAGCAGUGGGAGCACCUUCGGGUGUGACUGCGUACCUUUUGUAUAAUGGGUCAGCGACUUAUAUUCUGUAGCAAGGUUAACCGUAUAGGGGAGCCGCAGGGAAACCGAGUCUUAACUGGGCGUUAAGUUGCAGGGUAUAGACCCGAAACCCGGUGAUCUAGCCAUGGGCAGGUUGAAGGUUGGGUAACACUAACUGGAGGACCGAACCGACUAAUGUUGAAAAAUUAGCGGAUGACUUGUGGCUGGGGGUGAAAGGCCAAUCAAACCGGGAGAUAGCUGGUUCUCCCCGAAAGCUAUUUAGGUAGCGCCUCGUGAAUUCAUCUUCGGGGGUAGAGCACUGUUUCGGCUAGGGGGUCAUCCCGACUUACCAACCCGAUGCAAACUACGAAUACCGAAGAAUGUUAUCACGGGAGACACACGGCGGGUGCUAACGUCCGUCGUGAAGAGGGAAACAACCCAGACCGCCAGCUAAGGUCCCAAAGUCAUGGUUAAGUGGGAAACGAUGUGGGAAGGCACAGACAGCCAGGAUGUUGGCUUAGAAGCAGCCAUCAUUUAAAGAAAGCGUAAUAGCUCACUGGUCGAGUCGGCCUGCGCGGAAGAUGUAACGGGGCUAAACCAUGCACCGAAGCUGCGGCAGCGACACUAUGUGUUGUUGGGUAGGGGAGCGUUCUGUAAGCCUGCGAAGGUGACCUGUGAGGGUUGCUGGAGGUAUCAGAAGUGCGAAUGCUGACAUAAGUAACGAUAAAGCGGGUGAAAAGCCCGCUCGCCGGAAGACCAAGGGUUCCUGUCCAACGUUAAUCGGGGCAGGGUGAGUCGACCCCUAAGGCGAGGCCGAAAGGCGUAGUCGAUGGGAAACAGGUUAAUAUUCCUGUACUUGGUGUUACUGCGAAGGGGGGACGGAGAAGGCUAUGUUAGCCGGGCGACGGUUGUCCCGGUUUAAGCAUGUAGGCUGGUUGUCCAGGCAAAUCCGGAUAAUCAAGGCUGAGGUGUGAUGACGAGGCACUACGGUGCUGAAGUAACAAAUGCCCUGCUUCCAGGAAAAGCCUCUAAGCAUCAGGUAACAUCAAAUCGUACCCCAAACCGACACAGGUGGUCAGGUAGAGAAUACCAAGGCGCUUGAGAGAACUCGGGUGAAGGAACUAGGCAAAAUGGUGCCGUAACUUCGGGAGAAGGCACGCUGGUGUGUAGGUGAAGUCCCUGCGGAUGGAGCUGAGACCAGUCGAAGAUACCAGCUGGCUGCAACUGUUUAUUAAAAACACAGCACUGUGCAAACACGAAAGUGGACGUAUACGGUGUGACGCCUGCCCGGUGCCGGAAGGUUAAUUGAUGGGGUUAUCCGUAAGGAGAAGCUCUUGAUCGAAGCCCCGGUAAACGGCGGCCGUAACUAUAACGGUCCUAAGGUAGCGAAAUUCCUUGUCGGGUAAGUUCCGACCUGCACGAAUGGCGUAAUGAUGGCCAGGCUGUCUCCACCCGAGACUCAGUGAAAUUGAACUCGCUGUGAAGAUGCAGUGUACCCGCGGCAAGACGGAAAGACCCCGUGAACCUUUACUAUAGCUUGACACUGAACAUUGAGCCUUGAUGUGUAGGAUAGGUGGGAGGCUUUGAAGCGUGGACGCCAGUCUGCGUGGAGCCAACCUUGAAAUACCACCCUUUAAUGUUUGAUGUUCUAACGUUGGCCCCUUACCGGGGUUGCGGACAGUGUCUGGUGGGUAGUUUGACUGGGGCGGUCUCCUCCCAAAGCGUAACGGAGGAGCACGAAGGUUAGCUAAUCCUGGUCGGACAUCAGGAGGUUAGUGCAAUGGCAUAAGCUAGCUUGACUGCGAGCGUGACGGCGCGAGCAGGUGCGAAAGCAGGUCAUAGUGAUCCGGUGGUUCUGAAUGGAAGGGCCAUCGCUCAACGGAUAAAAGGUACUCCGGGGAUAACAGGCUGAUACCGCCCAAGAGUUCAUAUCGACGGCGGUGUUUGGCACCUCGAUGUCGGCUCAUCACAUCCUGGGGCUGAAGUAGGUCCCAAGGGUAUGGCUGUUCGCCAUUUAAAGUGGUACGCGAGCUGGGUUUAGAACGUCGUGAGACAGUUCGGUCCCUAUCUGCCGUGGGCGCUGGAGAAUUGAGGGGGGCUGCUCCUAGUACGAGAGGACCGGAGUGGACGCAUCACUGGUGUUCGGGUUGUCAUGCCAAUGGCACUGCCCGGUAGCUAAAUGCGGAAGAGAUAAGUGCUGAAAGCAUCUAAGCACGAAACUUGCCCCGAGAUGAGUUCUCCCUGAGACUUUAAGUCUCCUGAAGGAACGUUAAAGACGAUGACGUUGAUAGGCCGGGUGUGUAAGCGCAGCGAUGCGUUGAGCUAACCGGUACUAAUGAACCGUGAGGCUUAACCUU
rnacentral:rRNA from 4 species